rnacentral:sRNA from 1 species
CUUUCACCACAAACCGAAUAUAGUACCCAUAUACUCUUCGAGUACCGGGUACAAAAAAUCUCAGUGCUGGCUAGCAACAUGAGUCCAAGCACUCGGGCUGCGCAACAGGUGAAGCCGAAGCAGAACAGAAUCCGACCAACAUAAACCAACAACAAGGCUUGGUUUUUUGUUUAUGAAUGAAAGGCGAAAAGCAAAAAGGGCGAUAAAUUUGUGUAGGCAAAAAGAGAAAUAAGCUAACCAAGAAGGAUCGACGAUAUGAUGCCCUGUAUACAUAUGUGUGCACAUGUGGUGUUUCGCUGGGAUACGAAUAGAAUUAGAAACUCAAUAUGUAUACAUAUGAUCCAUUGUGUAUUAUUAUAAUUAAAUUAAACGCAUGAAACGUUAGGGUUGCGAGAAAUCAACUGCAUAUUUGUAUCUCCAGCGAACCAUCACGGAUCAGGGCCAUGACAAGUUGUAUUGUAAAAAUGAUUAUAUAAUCUGCCCACUCGUCCUACAUCGUUAAGCACACUUGACACGUACUGGUGACUCCCUUAAUUCCCACUAAAACGCGCCUUGCCAUAAAUCCAAUAUACCACUCGCUACCCAUUGCAGCAAAGGUAUCAACGCGUCAGGAGACGAUAAAGGUGAACAGAAAUGGUGAGCGACGGAGAGAGAGAGAGAGAGAGAUAAAGAGCGCAGAGAGCGGGCGAUCAUGAUAUAUCAAUAAAUGGUACGGUCACUCCGCUCUUUGAGGGACUUAAGCUGCUCAAUUGCGAUCGUGCAAAACAAACAAGAGAGAAGCGGCCGGAAGAGCAGAUAUAUGGCCAGAUCGGAGCGAUCGGAGCCAAGUCAGACAAUUGGGCUGCUGAGGCCUCGCCAUUCCCGGUUCUACGUUUGGGCCUUAACGCCGUUCGUUUGGCCAACGCGCACCGAGUCUUUCGUUCGUUCGUUCGCUGUCGUCGUCGUCGUCGUCGUCGGUGGGUCUGGUCUAUACCUCACCUCGCUGGCCGCUCUCUUUUUUUGUACGUGUGUACGGAUACGUGUGCGCCUGUGUGCGCGAGUGUGUGUUAACAAAAUGUGAUUAGCAAAAAUACAAAGAAAUCAGGCGUAGUGGAACGCAGGGCAUUGUGGCUAAAACAACGGCAGCAGCGUUGGCGCACUCACACAUCAGGAGGUCCAAUAAAGAACAAAUAAUUCAAGAUAUACGCGAAUAUACAUAAUAUACAUAAUAUACGGACGAAAUAUACGAAAAUUUGCAUAAAAAGCAAUGCGCUGGCGCUGCAACAAAGCACGGCCCUAAAAAAUAAGUAACACUAACGGCAAUACCAAGUUUUUUGCUUUAUCGGCAACACCAGCACCAGUACCAGCAACAACACCAGCAACAACAACGGCAAC